rnacentral:rRNA from 1 species
UGCGCAGGCGGUUAUGUAAGACAGAUGUGAAAUCCCCGGGCUCAACCUGGGAACUGCAUUUGUGACUGCAUAGCUAGAGUACGGUAGAGGGGGAUGGAAUUCCGCGUGUAGCAGUGAAAUGCGUAGAUAUGCGGAGGAACACCGAUGGCGAAGGCAAUCCCCUGGACCUGUACUGACGCUCAUGCACGAAAGCGUGGGGAGCAAACAGGAUUAGAUACCCUGGUAGUCCACGCCCUAAACGAUGUCAACUGGUUGUUGGGUCUUCACUGACUCAGUAACGAAGCUAACGCGUGAAGUUGACCGCCUGGGGAGUACGGCCGCAAGGUUGAA